rnacentral:rRNA from 1 species
ACUCCUACGGGAGGCAGCAGUGGGGAAUAUUGGACAAUGGGGGCAACCCUGAUCCAGCCAUGCCGCGUGAGUGAUGACGGCCUUAGGGUUGUAAAGCUCUUUUCUCCGGGACGAUAAUGACGGUACCGGAGGAAUAAGCCCCGGCUAACUUCGUGCCAGCAGCCGCGGUAAUACGAAGGGGGCUAGCGUUGCUCGGAAUCACUGGGCGUAAAGGGCGCGUAGGCGGCUGAUUUAGUCGAGGGUGAAAGCCCGUGGCUCAACCACGGAAUGGCCUUCGAUACUGAUUGGCUUGAGACCGGAAGAGGACAGCGGAACUGCGAGUGUAGAGGUGAAAUUCGUAGAUAUUCNCAAGAACACCAGUGGCGAAAGGCGGCUGUCUGGUCCGGUUCUGACGCUGAGGCGCGAAAGCGUGGGGAGCAAACAGGAUUAGAUACCCUGGUAGCGUCGUCU